GGCCGUCCCCCUUCCCCGUCCGCCCGACUCAGACGUACCUACCGGUAACGGGGGCGAAGGCAGUUGGGGGAAAGUAAUUAGGGACAAUGGGGGCAACCCUGAUCCAGCGAUGCCGCGUGAGUGAAGAAGGCCUUCGGGUCGUAAGCUCUUUAGGUUGGGAAGAAGGGUACGGUAUGAAUAAGAUCGUACUUUGACGGUACCGACAGAAUAAGCACCGGCAAACUCUGUGCCAGCCGCCGCGGUAAUUC
rnacentral:rRNA from 1 species